rnacentral:rRNA from 1 species
UAAAGGUCCGUAGCCGGUUGUCAGUCCUCCGGGAAUCUGAUAGCUUAACUGCUAGGCUUUCGGGGAUACUGCCAGGCUUGAACCGGGAGAGGUAAGAGGUACUACAGGGGUAGGAGUGAAAUCUUGUAAUCCCUGUGAGACCACCUGUGGCGAAGGCGUCUUACCAGAACGGGUUCGACGGUGAGGGACGAAAGCUGGGGGCACGAACCGGAUUAGAUACCCGGGUAGUCCCAGCCGUAAACUAUGCUCGCUAGGUGUCAGGCAUGGCGCGACCGUGUCUGGUGCCGCAGGGAAGCCGUGAAGCGAGCCACCUGGGAAGUACGGCCGCAAGGCUGAAACUUAAAGGAAUUGGCGGGGGAGCACAACAACGGGUGGAGCCUGCGGUUUAAUUGGACUCAACGCCGGACAACUCACCGGGAACGACAGCAAUAUGUAGGCCAGGCUGAAGACCUUGCCUGAAUCGCUGAGAGGAGGUGCAUGGCCGUUGCCAGUUCGUACUGUGAAGCAUCCUGUUAAGUCAGGCAACGAGCGAGACCCGUGCCCACUGUUACCAGCAUAUCCUCCGGGAUGAUGGGUACUCUGUGGGGACCGCUGAUGUUAAAUCAGAGGAAGGUGCGGGCUACGGUAGGUCAGUAUGCCCCGAAUUUCCCGGGCUACACGCGGGCUACAAUGAAUGGGACAAUGGGCCCCUACUCUGAAAAGGGUUGGUAAUCUCACAAACCCAUCCGUAGUUUGGAUUGAGGGCUGUAACUCGCCCUCAUGAAGCUGGAAUCCGUAGUAAUCGCGUUUCAAAAUAACGCGGUGAAUCUGUCCCUGCUCCUUGCACACACCGCCCGUCAAACCACCCGAGUGGGGUUUGGAUGAGGUCGCGGUAGUUGCCGCGGUCGAAUCUAGGUUCCGCAAGGGGGGUUAAGUCGUAACAAGGUAGCCGUA